GAGUUUGAUCCUGGCUCAGGAUGAACGCUGGCGGCGUGCCUAAUACAUGCAAGUCGAGCGAACAGAUGAGAAGCUUGCUUCUCUGAUGUUAGCGGCGGACGGGUGAGUAACACGUGGGUAACCUACCUAUAAGACUGGGAUAACUCCGGGAAACCGGGGCUAAUACCUGAUAAUAUUUUGAACCGCAUGGUUCAAUAGUGAAAGGCGGCUUCGGCUGUCACUUAUAGAUGGACCCGCGCCGUAUUAGCUAGUUGGUAAGGAACGGCUUACCAAGGCGACGAUACGUAGCCGACCUGAGAGGGUGAUCGGCCACACUGGAACUGAGACACGGUCCAGACUCCUACGGGAGGCAGCAGUAGGGAAUCUUCCGCAAUGGGCGAAAGCCUGACGGAGCAACGCCGCGUGAGUGAUGAAGGUUUUCGGAUCGUAAAACUCUGUUGUUAGGGAAGAACAAAUUUGUUAGUAACUGAACAAGUCUUGACGGUACCUAACCAGAAAGCCACGGCUAACUACGUGCCAGCAGCCCGCGGUAAUACGUAGGUGGCAAGCGUUAUCCGGAAUUAUUGGGCGUAAAGCCGCGCGUAAGCGGUUUCUUAAGUCUGAUGUGAAAGCCCACGGCUCACCCGGGGAGGGUCAUUGGAAACUGGGGAACUUGAGUGCAGAAAAGAGAAGUGGAAUUUCAUGUGUAGCGGUGAAAUG
rnacentral:rRNA from 1 species